AUUGAACGCUGGCGGCAUGCCUUACACAUGCAAGUCGAACGGUAACGCGGGGCAACCUGGCGACGAGUGGCGAACGGGUGAGUAAUGCAUCGGAACGUGCCCAGCAGUGGGGGAUAGCCCGGCGAAGGCCGGAUUAAUACCGCAUGAGACCUGAGGGUGAAAGCGGGGGAUCGCAAGACCUCGCGCUUUUUGAGCGGCCGAGGUCAGAUGAGCUAGUUGGUGGGGUAAAGGCCUACCAAGGCGACGAUCUGUCACUGGUCGGAGAGGCAGACCAGCCACCCUGGGACUGAUACACAGCCCAGACUCCUACGGGAGGCAGCAGUGGGGAAUUUUGGACAAUGGGCGCAAGCCUGAUCCAGCCAUGCCGCGUGCGGGAAGAAGGCCUUCGGGUUGUAAACCGCUUUUGUCAGGGAAGAAACGCUCUGGGCUAAUACCCUGGGGUAAUGACGGUACCUGAAGAAUAAGCACCGGCUAACUACGUGCCAGCCGCCGCCGUAA
rnacentral:rRNA from 1 species